GAAUGUUUUCUGAUUCCGACAGUGUAAACGGCUUGUCCGAGGUACUUCUACAGACUGACUGGCUGGUUGCUGAAGGUGCGUGCGGCCACUGCGAACUCGUACUUCUUCCCCUGUACAUGGUGGCAUGCUGCAGACUUGACAGCCUUGCAAGGGAUCUCUUUCGCACUGCUGGCGUACCUUGUUUUCUCACGUGAGAUCGGCACCACCACAGUUCGAAAGUCGACAAAAUUCGAGGUUUU